ACGCUAGCGAUAGGCUUAACACAUGCAAGUCGAGGGGCAGCAUGGUCUUAGCUUGCUAAGACUGAUGGCGACCGGCGCACGGGUGCGUAACGCGUAUGCAACUUGCCUCACGGAGGGGGAUAACCCGUCGAAAGACGGACUAAUACCGCGUACACUUACAGGAGGGCAUCCUCCAGUAAGGAAAUGAAAUUCGCUGUGAGAUAGGCAUGCGUCCCAUUAGCUAGUUGGUGAGGUAACGGCUCACCAAGGCGACGAUGGGUAGGGGAACUGAGAGGUUGAACCCCCACACUGGUACUGAGACACGGACCAGACUCCUACGGGAGGCAGCAGUGAGGAAUAUUGGUCAAUGGGCGAGAGCCUGAACCAGCCAAGUCGCGUGAAGGAUGACUGUCUUAUGGAUUGUAAACUUCUUUUAUACGGGAAUAACAAGAGUCACGUGUGGCUCCCUGCAUGUACCGUAUGAAUAAGCAUCGGCUAACUCCGUGCCAGCAGCCGCGGUAAUACGGAGGAUGCGAGCGUUAUCCGGAUUUAUUGGGUUUAAAGGGUGCGUAGGCGGCCUGUUAAGUCAGCGGUGAAAUCUAGGAGCUUAACUCCUAAAUUGCCAUUGAUACUGGCGGGCUUGAGUGUAGAUGAGGUAGGCGGAAUGCGUGGUGUAGCGGUGGAAUGCAUAGAUAUCACGCAGAACUCCGAUUGCGAAGGCAGCUUACUAAGGUACAACUGACGCUGAAGCACGAAAGCGUGGGUAUCAAACAGGAUUAGAUACCCUGGUAGUCCACGCAGUAAACGAUGAUAACUGGGCGUAUGCGAUAUACAGUAUGCUCCUAAGCGAAAGCGUUAAGUUAUCCACCUGGGGAGUACGCCGGCAACGGUGAAACUCAAAGGAAUUGACGGGGGCCCGCACAAGCGGAGGAACAUGUGGUUUAAUUCGA
rnacentral:rRNA from 1 species